rnacentral:rRNA from 1 species
UACGAAGGGGGCUAGCGUUGCUCGGAAUGACUGGGCGUAAAGGGCGCGUAGGCGGCUCAUACAGUCAGAUGUGAAAUUCCUGGGCUUAACCUGGGGGCUGCAUUUGAUACGUGUGGGCUUGAGUGGGGAAGAGGGUCGUGGAAUUCCCAGUGUAGAGGUGAAAUUCGUAGAUAUUGGGAAGAACACCGGUGGCGAAGGCGGCGACCUGGGCCUUGACUGACGCUGAGGCGCGAAAGCGUGGGGAGCAAACAGG